rnacentral:rRNA from 1 species
CGAGGGUGCGAGCGUUAAUCGGAAUUACUGGGCGUAAAGCGCACGUAGGCGGCUUGGUAUGUCGGAUGUGAAAUCCCCGGGCUCAACCUGGGAACUGCAUCCGAAACUGCCUUGCUCGAGUAUGGGAGAGGGAAGCGGAAUUUCCGGUGUAGCGGUGAAAUGCGUAGAUAUCGGAAGGAACAUCAGUGGCGAAGGCGGCUUCCUGGACCAAUACUGACGCUCAGGUGCGAAAGCGUGGGGAGCAAACAGGAUUAGAUACCCGAGUAGUCC